CGAGGUGUGAGCAAACUGCUUAGGUCGCGAAGCAGGGAAGGCGCUCCGUGCUGCCCUAACCUGUUUGCUCCAGGGAGCAGCCACUGGAGUGGUUUAAGGUACUUGGCGAGGAGUGAAAGAGUUGGAGGAAAGCCCCCAAUGGCUAGGACUGCAGGCUGCACACCAUGCCUGGCUGAUUAUUUCUGAUAGAAGAAAACCCUCCCAGAAAUGCUGCAGACUGGCCCGGCUGACUGCAGGAACCGGGACUGCACUAAGAUGGAAACGGGAAAGAGCCUCGGUCAGCUGAGCUCAGCUCUAACUCCCAGGAGGAGACCACCUGAUUUUCGUGAAGGACCUAGAUACACCAAGCACCAAGCAGCACCGAAUGGCUCAAGGCUAGGCCCAAACAAAGCAGUCAGACCAGCGCCUCAGACUCCUUCCUUCUAAAGGUCACCUCGAUUCCCGACAGCACUCCUGGAGGCUGGGUCCCUCCUGAAGGUCACGCCUAGCCUGACCCCCUCAUCGGUCCAUGCCCCUCACGGAAAAUCGGGGUUCCAUCUGCACACCGCUGCUCCCCGCGUGUCCAUAUUGGGUGAGCACAAUUCUUCCUACCUGAAAGUGUGAGCCAGCCCUUUAGCCUACCAAGUACACCGUUAUCCUUUUCCUCAAAAAACUUUACUUUGAAAACUUUCCACCUGCAGGGCCGGGGAUUUAGCUCAGUGGCUUCGCCACCUGCUGCGCAAGCGCAAGGAUCUGAGUUCGAU
rnacentral:lncRNA from 1 species